GAUGAAGAGCGUAGCGAAAUGCGAUACGUAAUGUGAAUUGCAGAAUUCAGUGAAUCAUCGAAUCUUUGAACGCAUAUUGCGCUCUCUGGUAUUCCGGAGAGCAUGCUUGUUUGAGUAUCAGUAAACACCUCAACUUCCAUAUCUUUUUUGAAAUGGGAGUUGGACUUGAGUGAUCCCAACGCUUUUCCUCACCGAAAAGUGGCGGGUUACUUGAAAUGCAGGUGCAGCUGGACUUUUCUCUGAGCUAUAAGCAUAUCUAUUUAGUCUGCCUAAAAAACAGAUUAUUACCUUUGCUGCAGCUAACAUAAAGGAGAUUAGUUCUUGUGCUGACUGAUGCAGGAUUCACAAAGACGGCUUCGGCCGACUUUGUAAACUCGAUCUCAAAUCAAGUAAGACUACCCGCUGAACUUAAGCAUAUCAAUAAGCGGAGGA
rnacentral:misc_RNA from 1 species